rnacentral:lncRNA from 1 species
ACAAUCACCUUCUUAACAUUGUUGUCCCUUAUUACUUUUCAAACCCGUGGUCGUUGAUGUCGUUGGUGCAACACGGAGACGGCCGCCAUUGCCAUCUUGUCACGCCAAUUACCAUCGCCGUCGUUGGCCUCGAUGAGAGCCACACCUUCUAUACCUUCAACACAAGCACCCCGUCGUGGCACGCUCGUUGUCGCACGUUUGUCACCGGUGCCACAACUCGCCGGUGACUUGCCUUCAUGUUCAUCACCGGUGACACAAUUCGCCGGUGACUCACCUUCAUGUUGUCGACGAUGACGCACCUUGUCGACGACUCGCACAUGGAACUCCUUAUGCAAUGGCCUCCGCUCCAUGACCACCUCCUUCAUGCCGCCGGUGACACAACUUACCAGGCGACAUACCUAUCUCCAUCACCGUGACGCAUCUCGAUGAUGAUGAAGACACACACCAGCCGCUAGCAGCAUCACACCGCCAACGACGUCCACCUUGCGCCGCCGACGUCCCCCUCAUACUGAGUCCGCCACGCAGCCACACCGCCGUGCACCUCCAUAGGCC